GGAGCUGCCUUUGAGAAACAUCAAGGAGGUAUGAAACUCUUGCACUGAGGAGACAACAAUACAAAACCUUUGCAAUAUAUUGGCAACAUAGAUAAACCCUUCAAAAUCUGCUUGUCACAGAAACCCUUCUACUGCUGUAUAAGAGGACUUUGCCAGGCCAAGCUAACUGCAGUGAGAGUGAUGGACGUGGACAUCUCAUGAAGCUUUUUCUGAUUUUGUCUCAGGUCUGAAGCUUAGUGGCUUCUUUACAGAAGGAAGGAACCAUACCCAGGGAAGGAACAACAUUCUGUAAUAACAGAGGGAAACAGGAUUUAGCGACACAAUAUGGCAUUCAUAAGUCAGUUCCAGCCUAUUCCCUCCCUUUCUUUCUCAGACACUCAUAACUUUGUCAAAAUAAAUUUGAGGGGCUGGAACUAUCCAUGCUUGGAUUCAACUGAAAGGUAAAUGUUUGGGGUUUUAUAUUU